GUGAGCUCUCUCUGACUCUGUGGUAACUGGUAAAGUAGGAAGAAGGCGGGAAAAAUACAGUUUAGACGCGCCACCAAACGAGGAACUAAGGAAGAGAGAGAAAGAAGAAGAAGAACCAAACAUCUUCAGUGUUAACAGUAAUUUCAAAUGGGAAUUAAGGGUUUAACGAAGUUACUAGCGGAUAAUGCACCCAAAUGCAUGAAAGAGCAGAAAUUUGAGAGCUAUUUCAAUCGAAAAAUCGCCAUUGAUGCUAGCAUGAGCAUCUAUCAAUUCCUUAUUGUGAUUGGGAGAACAGGAACCGAGACGCUUACGAAUGAGGCCGGUGAAGUCACUAGUCACUUGCAGGGGAUGUUUACACGAACUAUUAGGCUUCUUGAAGCUGGAAUAAAGCCUGUCUAUGUUUUUGAUGGGAAGCCACCUGAUCUGAAGAAACAAGAGCUCGCUAAACGAUAUGCCAAACGAGCUGAUGCUACUGAGGAUUUGACAGAGGCCCUAGAGAAAGGAGAUAAAGAAAGUAUUGAGAAGUUCAGUAAACGAACUGUGAAGGUGACAAAACAGCACAAUGAAGACUGUAAGAAACUACUUGGAUUAAUGGGAGUUCCUGUGGUUGAGGCGCCUUGUGAAGCAGAGGCACAAUGUGCCGUCCUUUGCAAAUCUGGAAAAGUUUAUGCCGUGGCUUCCGAGGAUAUGGAUUCUUUGACCUUUGGCGCUCCUAAAUUUCUCCGUCAUUUGAUGGAUCCAAGCUCAAAGAAAAUUCCAGUCAUGGAGUUUGAAAUGGCAAAGGUUUUGGAGGAGCUGAAUCUUACAAUGGAUCAAUUCAUUGAUUUGUGCAUUCUUUCUGGCUGUGAUUACUGUGAGAGCAUUAAAGGAAUUGGUGGAUUGACUGCAUUGAAGCUCAUUCGUCAACAUGGAUCCAUAGAGAAUAUAUUGGAGAACUUGAAUAAAGAGAGGUACCAAAUACCUGAUGAUUGGCCGUAUCAAGAGGCCAGGCGCUUAUUUAAGGAGCCUCUGGUGUAUCCUGGAAACGAAGAACCUGAACUUAAGUGGAGCUCUCCCGAUGAAGAGGGUUUGGUGAACUUUUUAGUGAAGGACAAUGGCUUUAAUCUUGAUAGAGUAACAAAGGCGAUCGAAAAAAUCAAGGCAGCUAAGAACAAGUCAUCACAGGGACGGUUAGAGUCAUUUUUUAAGCCAGCUAUUACCAAUCCUGUUCCCAUUAAAAGGAAGGGAACCAAAUGCUUGCUUGGGUCUUUCAAAGAAGGAAACAGGCCUAGGAUCCAUUCUUCACAAGCUUCCAGUCAUUGUCAGGUUGAAUUGUAUGCAGCCUUGGGCCCGCGGUCUGCAGUUUUGGGCUUAAAGCACUUUGCAUCGUCUUUUCCUGCUCUCUUCUGUGGCACAUGAAAGCUGACUCCCUUGGAAAAGGCUGAUAACUUGAAGGAUGCAUCAAACAAAAAGCAGAAGGCUGGUGGUAGGAAGAAGUAGUGUAUCCUGCACAGAGGCACAAAAUCCUAUACUAGUAAGACCUGUUCUUUUGACGUUGGUGUUUGUUUGAGAUCUAGGACCUAGAAUGACAUUAUGUGCAAAUGUAAUUUGGAUAGAUGGCUUAUUAGUUACUCACUAUACAAUAUCUCUCCUCUUUGCAGCUCCUGUAAACUCAUGUUUUUCUUUUCGUGUAAGCCAAGCUACAACUUAAUAUCAUGUUGGAUUUUCGUAUGA